rnacentral:rRNA from 1 species
UACGUAGGGACCGAGCGUUGUCCGGAAUCAUUGGGCGUAAAGAGCGUGUAGGCGGCCUUUUAAGUCCUGCGUGAAAUCCUGCGGCUCAACCGCAGACGGUCGUGGGAAACUGGAAGGCUAGAGUGCGGGAGAGGAGAGUGGAAUCCCGGUGUAGCGGUGAAAUGCGCAGAUAUCGGGAAGAACACCCGUGGCGAAGGCGGCUCUCUGGAACGCAACUGACGCUGAGACGCGAAAGCGUGGGGAG